UUGAACGCUGGCGGUAUGCUUUACACAUGCAAGUCGAACUGCAGCACGGGGCAACCUGGUGGCGAGUGGCGAACGGGUGAGUAACAUAUCGGAACAUAUCCGGAAGUGGGGGAUAACGUAGCGAAAGUUACGCUAAUACCGCAUAUGCCCUGAGGGGGAAAGUGGGGGAUCGCAAGACCUCACGCUUUCGGAGUGGCCGAUAUCAGAUUAGCUAGUUGGUGGGGUAAAGGCCCACCAAGGCGACGAUCUGUAGCUGGUCUGAGAGGACGACCAGCCACACUGGAACUGAGACACGGUCCAGACUCCUACGGGAGGCAGCAGUGGGGAAUUUUGGACAAUGGGCGCAAGCCUGAUCCAGCCAUACCGCGUGAGUGAAGAAGGCCUUCGGGUUGUAAAGCUCUUUCAGACGGAAAGAAACGGUCACGGCCAAUACCCGUGGCUAAUGACGGUACCGUCAGAAGAAGCACCGGCUAACUACGU
rnacentral:rRNA from 1 species